ensembl:snRNA U6 U6 spliceosomal RNA
GUGCUUACUUCAGCAACACAUACUAAAAUUGAAACCACACAGAGAAGAUUAGCAUGGCCCCUAGGAUAACAUGAAGAUUCAUGAAGCAUUCCCUAUUUUA